rnacentral:rRNA from 1 species
UGCAAGUCGAACGGUGAACACGGAGCUUGCUCUGUGGGAUCAGUGGCGAACGGGUGAGUAACACGUGAGCAACCUGCCCCAGACUCUGGGAUAAGCACUGGAAACGGUGUCUAAUACCGGAUACGAGUAGCGAAGGCAUCUUCAGCUACUGGAAAGAACUUCGGUCUGGGAUGGGCUCGCGGCCUAUCAGCUUGUUGGUGAGGUAAUGGCUCACCAAGGCGUCGACGGGUAGCCGGCCUGAGAGGGUGACCGGCCACACUGGGACUGAGACACGGCCCAGACUCCUACGGGAGGCAGCAGUGGGGAAUAUUGCACAAUGGGCGAAAGCCUGAUGCAGCAACGCCGCGUGAGGGACGACGGCCUUCGGGUUGUAAACCUCUUUUAGCAGGGAAGAAGCGAAAGUGACGGUACCUGCAGAAAAAGCACCGGCUAACUACGUGCCAGCAGCCGCGGUAAUACGUAGGGUGCAAGCGUUAUCCGGAAUUAUUGGGCGUAAAGAGCUCGUAGGCGGUUUGUCGCGUCUGCUGUGAAAACCCGAGGCUCAACCUCGGGCCUGCAGUGGGUACGGGCAGACUAGAGUGCGGUAGGGGAGAUUGGAAUUCCUGGUGUAGCGGUGGAAUGCGCAGAUAUCAGGAGGAACACCGAUGGCGAAGGCAGAUCUCUGGGCCGUAACUGACGCUGAGGAGCGAAAGGGUGGGGAGCAAACAGGCUUAGAUACCCUGGUAGUCCACCCCGUAAACGUUGGGAACUAGUUGUGGGGUCCAUUCCACGGAUUCCGUGACGCAGCUAACGCAUUAAGUUCCCCGCCUGGGG